rnacentral:rRNA from 1 species
GGUUGACCUCGGAUCAGGUAGGGAUACCCGCUGAACUUAAGCAUAUCAAUAAGCGGAGGAAAAGAAACCAACAGGGAUUGCUCUAGUAACGGCGAGUGAAGCAGCAAUAGCUCAAAUUUGAAAUCUGGCGUCUCCGGCGUCCGAGUUGUAAUUUGUAGAGGAUGCUUCUGGGCAGCCACCGACCUAAGUUCCUUGGAACAGGACGUCAUAGAGGGUGAGAAUCCCGUAUGCGGUCGGAAAGGCACCCUACACGUAGCUCCUUCGACGAGUCGAGUUGUUUGGGAAUGUAGCUCUAAAUGGGAGGUAAAUUUCUUCUAAAGCUAAAUAUUGGCCAGAGACCGAUAGCGCACAAGUAGAGUGAUCGAAAGAUGAAAAGCACUUUGGAAAGAGAGUUAAAAAGCACGUGAAAUUGUUGAAAGGGAAGGGAUUGCAACCAGACUUGCUCGCGGUGUUCCGCCGGUCUUCUGACCGGUCUACUCGCCGCGUUGCAGGCCAGCAUCGUCUGGUGCCGCUGGAUAAGACUUGAGGAAUGUAGCUCCCUCGGGAGUGUUAUAGCCUCUUGUGAUGCAGCGAGCGCCGGGCGAGGUCCGCGCUUCGGCUAGGAUGCUGGCGUAAUGGUUGUAAUCCGCCCGUCUUGAAACACGGACCAAGGAGUCUAA